UCGUACAACUGAGGUGCGAAGGCUGUCGCUGACCCUCAAAGGUCGUGCACGCCUGAGUGCUUUCACACAAUCCAUCUCACCUUUGUGCAUCACCGCGUGGGUCCCCCUUUGCGGGGAGGGCUUGCGUUUUCACAUAAAACUCGAUACGGUGUAGAAUGUCUUACUAUUUGCGAUAAUGCGCAAUCAAUA
rnacentral:misc_RNA from 1 species